GGUACUGCUGUGGGUACAGUCACCUAGGGCAAUGAGACCGCGAAGAGAAAAGUCGAGGAAUGCAGAAUGGUGCAGCCAAACCAUUGGCCGGUUUCUGGCAAGAGUAAAAAUACUCUCCAUACGAUCCAGCAAACACACUCCCUGGUUUUACCCAAAUAAACUGAAAACCUGCACAAGGAUGUUUAUAGCAGUUUCAUUCCUAAUUGCGAAAACCCGGACGCAACCACAGACGUCCAUCAGUGGGUGAUGGAUCCACACGCUGUGGUCCAUCCAGACAACGGGAUAUUACUCAGCACCAAACAGAAAUGAGCGACAAGCCACGGAAACGACAGAGAAAACCGGAGUGCGCAUCGCCAAGUGCAAGAUGCCCGUCGGAAAAGGCGACGUCCUGUGUGACUCCAGCCCUCAGACGUUCUGGAAAAGGCAGAACCAUGGAGACGCCCCCCACCCCCGGCUGCCAGAGGUGCUGCGUCCACACGUUCCACCAAAAGGCUAAUGUGCUCCAGCAUCCGCUGCCCUGAGGUCAUCACCGAAGGAGUGGAGUCACUGGGCCAGACGGUAGCUCCGUGUUUAAGGUCUGAAGAAACCCCGAACUGUCCUCCACACUGGCUACGCCGUCUCAUCUCCCACCGACCAGCACCGUCUGAGGAUUUCCUCACAUCUGCUGUCU